UCCCCAGCCUGCGUCUCUCCCGGUCGGAGAAGGAGGAGUUGGAGUCAGGCCGCAAUAACCCUACGACUUAUACGAGGGAUCUACAGACUCAAUCAGUGUCUACCUGCUCACCUGUGACACCAGAGGCUCUGAACACCCUGUGGCUGGGACCAAGUAUCCUGUUAAGCUGCACAAACAUGGACAACCCCUUCAUUGCUGCCUUGAAGGACAGAGGAGUUCCUGAUGAAAACCUUAAAAAAAUGUUGCACGACAAGGUGGACCAAGACGUCUCCAGAAUGAUGGAUGAGGAAACCCUCUCCAAGUAUCUACCUCAUUUUGGAGACCGUGUUUUUGCUAGAAAUUGGACUAGCACAUUCUCAGCAGAAGCAGAGAGUAAUGCAGAGAAAAAACAAAAUCUUGUAGAACGCAUUCGAAGUAAAAUGAAACUUCCAAGCAUUGGCCAAGCAACAACAAGUUCUCAAAGUCAUACUAACAAAGGACUUGGUCUGGGAA